CUACGGGCCGCAGCAGGCGAGAAAACUUUGCAAUGUGCGAAAGCACGACAAGGUUAAUCCGAGUGGUUUCUGCUAAAGGAACCUUUUGACAGUCCUAGAAACACUGUUGAAUAAGGGGUGGGCAAGUUCUGGGUGUCAGCCGCCGCGGUAAAACCAGCACCUCAAGUGGUCAGGAUGAUUAUUGGGCCUAAAGCAUCCGUAGCCGGCUCUGUAAGUUUUCGGUUAAAUCUGUACGCUCAACGUACAGGCUGCCGGGAAUACUGCAGAGCUAGGGAGUGGGAGAGGUAGACGGUACUCGGUAGGAAGGGGUAAAAUCCUUUGAUCUAUUGAUGACCACCUGUGGCGAAGGCGGUCUACCAGAACACGUCCGACGGUGAGGGAUGAAAGCUGGGGGAGCAAACCGGAUUAGAUACCCUUGUAGUC
rnacentral:rRNA from 1 species